CCCGCCCGCAGCGGGUCCCGCGGACGUCGCGCGCCGCUCCCCUGAGGCACCGAGCGGGAGGGGCGCUGGGAAGGAAGGAAGGAAGCGGGGCACGGGUUGUGCUGUGAGGCUGUGCUGGCCCCCGGGGGUACCCUGGGGGGGGGGGGAACAGGGCUUUACCCCGCUACCCGUAGCUGCUCCAAACCUACCGCCCGUCGGUACCUGCGCGCGGGGACUGGCCCUGUCCUUUCCUUUCUACUUGCGUUUAUAGUCAGUCCUCCUUGCACAGACGGCAUUAUUCACCUUCCUUUAGGGAGGUUCACAGAAUAGCCGGAGUUGGAAGAGACUUCUGGAGAUCAUCCAGUCCAACCCCCCUGCCAGGGCAGGGUCACCCAGAGCAGGUGACACAGGAAUGCGUCCCGGGGGCUUUGGAAUGUCCCCAGAGAGGGAGACUUCACAGCCUCCCUAGGCAGCCUGUUCCAGUGUGCUGCCACCCUCAACGUAAGGAGGCUCUUCCUCAUGUUGAGGUGGGACAUGCGUUUUAGUUUAUGGCCAUUGCCCCUCGUCUUAUCGUUGGGCUCCGCUGAAAAGAGUCUGGCACCAUCCUCUUGGCACCUGCCUGUGAGAUCUUUAUUGAUGGGAUCCCCUCUCGGUCAUCUCUUCUCUAGGUUAACCACUAGGUUGGUAGUAUAUCAAAAUAAAAAGGUAUCUGCCCCCGUGGAGCUCUCAAUGCCGCAGUCCUGCGCACCUCCCUCGGGACAGGGUUUAACUGAACUGUUCCAAAAGAUCACACCUUGCCGACGGAGCUGCUUUUAACAAAUUAACAUCUCAAUGUGCCGAAGGUUGAGUGGCAAAGUCAAUAAAACAGCCAUUUGUUUCUAUAGAAACUGAACACCUUAGCAGAGAUUGUACCAAGCUCUGAUUUUGAUGGUUUCUUCCACCCCCCACGCCCCCUCACCCCGGAAUUUGCUGCUUUUGCAGCCUUCUCUUGCCUGUUUUCAGGAAAUCAGAAAUUUGGAAAACUGGCUUGGAAUUUUUUAGCAUGUGAGGAAUGCUGGCAAUCACAUGAUAACGGUACCAAAAAACCUCUAGAACCUAGUUCAGUGAGCUAGAAUUAAUUUCUGAUGCUGCAUAAUCAUGCACCCUGAAAAUCUCAGUUUGUUCCUCCACUUUCAGAUCGUAAGGACCUUUGCAACUCCCCAUCUUCCAUUCCCCCUUCUCCUAAGAUCUUUCUCCAGUACAGCCGAAAGGAGCUAAUCCAAGAAUCAGCUGAUGCAGCUGCUUGCUGCCCAGAGAUUUGGGGAGUUUCUGCGGGGUUUUUUUCCAACACGACUAUCAUUAACAUGAGGAAAUGUAGUAAGAAAAGAAAUAUUCAAUUGGUGCGUUCCAGAUUUCUUGUUCUCAGAUGAAGUUUCCCUGUUUGUUCUGUUCUCAAGUGACAGGGAUAUUGAAAUGGCUUCAGGAAUACAAAUAAGUAAUUUAGCUUAUCCUGGGACGAAAAUCCUAACAGGUUUCUGGAAAUACACAAGGCAUGAAAUGGGACUCAUUCUGUUUGGUAAUGCAACAGUGCAGUAGCUGUGCUUUUAAAAACUAGUAGGUCCAUGAAUACCUUUUUUUUUUCUCUGUUAGGACAGAGUUUCUGGAUUACUUAGUUCUGAGUCUGGUUGUACCAAAGUUUGUUAGCUUUGCUCUGCUUUUUCCUUCUCCUUUUUUGUUCUCAGCGUCAGUCUUUAUGCUUCCCCUGAAAACAUGGUGCUUAUUGUAGUGAGAGAGUCUUCUAAGUUGUCUUGACCUCAGUCAUUUUAUCAGAAUCACUUGAAUGUUUUGAUAACCACCUGAAAAGUCUUACUUCUCAGUUCAAUUUUUUUUUCCCAGACAAAAAAUAGAGGAUUUUCCUUUGACAGUCAUUCUUCUUUUCCAUUGAAUAGUAGGAAAACGGGUCACAUGAAUUCCUGCAGAGCCCUUGAAAAUGCUGUCAAGAAUUUUUUGUAAGGUUUGGGAAGUUCCAGGUAUUUAUGUUGGGUUUUGUGUCCAAGAUCUAGUUCUCCAAAGCAUUUACAUUUCCAAAUGCUGUAAUUUGUGCAUUGGAAUUCUCUUAGGAGCUGGGCAUAAAGAAGAGAUUUUCAUUACUCACUUCCUUCCAACAUUAAUACACAAGCUUUAAAACUUAAUGGGUUAUGGAAACCUCUUAGAUACAGGAAGAGAGCUGGGAAGGCCCAAAGAGGGCACACAUCUGUUAGACCUCAGCAGUCUGCUGCUGGCAUUGCCAGGUAGUCCUUUUCUGUAGUUUUAUUUACAUUAUGUCUGAAUCCCAGUUUUAGCCAUUGCUUGUGGCUUUGCCAAUGCAAACACUCAGCAUGAGCAAAAAUGAAAAAAAAAAUUUAAAAUGGAUUCCACUGGAACUUGGGUUCAGAGCCAGAAUAAACUUGAGUAGUGCAAGUGUCAGCUUUUAUUCACACUCAGAGUUUGUAUUGCUGUCUAAAAUGGCAACUAACCCUAAGCAUAGGUGAGAGGACACAAACCCAAGUGCUCAGCUGACGAUGUUGUUAGUCUAACAGGACUUUGGAACAUGGAAGAAGUUCCAGCACACCAUCAGAAGCGCCCAUACUUCCCUAACAGGGAUGUGAGACUGCAUCUUGCUGCUUGACUUUUGGAAGUGGCAGCUCAUUGAACGCCUGCCUUGUCUACUGCUGCAGUUCUUGGAAGAUAAUUUGGCAGCUCCCACAGAGGCACUUAUGAACACCUCUUCCUUCUGACUGGGCAUCCAGGACAUCUCUUCUUGUCCAGUCCCCGCCACAAAGUUCACAUGAUCACUUUUAUGUGCGUACACCAGACCUGUCCACUGACAAAUGCAGCUGAGCAUGGCAAGAGGAGCUCACCAGCCAUCCCGGGCACUGUGCAGGAGCCAAAUGUCCUGGGGAGAGAGGCUGUGGGCAGCCACCUUGUGCAACUGUCCCUGUAAGAAGGUGUGAGCAGAGCUGAUGUGCACAGUGUACACGAGCCUGUGCCUUGUUCCAUCUGUGUGGAGAGAAGCUGUCACGGAAAUGAUGGGAGGCUGGCAAAGAGACCUGACUGCCAAAGGAAGACACUGUUAGUAGCCUGGAGUGUGCAGCCGAUGUUGAAGAGUGGUAUAAAUUUAAUUGGUAACUCAUUUCUUAUUAAAACUGACAGAUUUUUUUCUUCCUAGCAGAACAGACAAGAGUGGAAAGGUUUCACAUAAUCACUGAUUUCACUGAAACUUGACAGCAUUAUCAAGCCCUUUAAAUCUUUUUCAAUUUUAUAUGAAUCCCAUAAAAUAUCAAAACACCAGCAUGUAAACAAAGGACUUCAAUAAGCUUUGUUUGGUAUUUCUAUUGUAUUCCAAUUUGGAAUGAAAGGAGAUGUGAAAUAAUCAACUUUCCCAAGAAAAUGUGAUAUCUGAAACUGUCAAGGAGUCCAGUGACCCCUGCUGAUGGACAAGUCACCUCCUGAAAAGUAUCCUCCUGCUGCAACAAAUCCAGCACACCUGCCACAAAGGGAAUUCUUGUUCACAUCCUAUCGGAUGCUCGGGGUCACCCUCCAGGGUGGCAGCUCCAAUUGCUAAUACUGUGUUUUGGAGAGGUACUUUCUGAAGCACACUUAUGGAAAUGUAGCGGUCUUCACUGAUGCUUGAGUAACACAGGCACAUCUCUGACAAGUGGGUAGGCCUUAGCUUCAUCCUGCAGAAGAGAAAACAAAAGACACAUGCAAACUCUUUUCUGCUGAAGAGAACAUGGAUACUGGAGAAAUGAGAGUUCUCAUUUAAAAAGUUCUCUCUCACACUGCACUAGCACAUUGAUUUCUACUCCUGCAGCAAAGCUGGGUUUCAUUUGUAGGGGACUGACCUGGACAGAAGCAGAUGUCAGACUGAAAACUAACAACAUCAAAUGCACUUUUUCAUACCAAACAACAUUUUGUUUAUUUACACUUGAGUGGACAAGAUACCUGCAACAAAAGAACAAGACCCAGCAAAUACACUACAUACUGAACUGCACAGGCACCAGUGGCUUUUGGUACUUGUUCUCAGAUGGGGGUUUGUACCCCGCGGGUGUUGUGCACAGCUGGAUAAUACCCACCUCUCCCAUUCGUCCACCUGAGAGCUGGAAAGCACAGUCUUCAGCUGCUCCACAAUUUACAUCUCUUCUGAGUGCUCAGUUUGCUGAGCUAUUUGAACUAAAUGGGAGCAGUAGGAAUACAGUAAUGUUGGCUGAAAACAAAAGCUGAAGCAAGGGGAUUUUCAGAGCAGCUUUAGUGCCUGAAAACUGCUGCAAUCCUGUUUGUGCUAGGUGAUGUGGAGUCCUGUAAAUGACUGGUUGUGACAGAGAGAAAAAAAAAUCAAUUCAUCAGCAGGCCGUUCUCUUUAAGCAUUGCAACAGCUUUCAGAUACUACCUUUGGGAAGAGUGGAUUGGCUUGAUGGAGGGAGUGAGGAGCUCUGCCAUAGCAUCACCCCCUCCAAAUGUGCAUGAUAGCAAGCAGCCGCUGCGAGUGUAUCUUCCAAGUGGUCUGCACAGCCCCACUAGUGUGAGAGCAAUGGCAGGGGGCACAGCCAGGCCAGGCCCCCCACAUCACAGGGGCAAUGAGCAGGCAAAAAGCCAGAUCUAGCAGGGAGAAUUUGGAACAUUUUGGGGUUAGAAGAGGCUCAAGAAAGGGCAAGCUUGAUGAAUGAACACAACUGACAUGACAUGGAAGGCACACCAUGGGCUCUUGCUCUCCAAGGCGUGAUGCUGCAGGAUGUUUUGGUCAAGAUCCUGUGUACUUAUGGGAUAAAGCAUCUUUAGCAACAAUGCUAAGUACCAUGGCGCCCUGAAAUGUGCUGGCAAAAGACCUGUCACUGCUUUAAUUGUAUUCAAACAUGCAGAGUUAGAGUGAAUAAUACCAUGAGCAGGUAAGGAAUUGAUUAACUAGUUUGCUAUGAAAAGGAAGGGUGACACUCAUUUUCUUCUACCUGGACUGUUUAGACAAACCUUGUUAUGAAGAAGGACAUUUGUUCAUUUAGGUGUAAGAAAGCAUAGUCCUGCCUCUCAGAUCCUCGCCACUAUGUGCCAGUGGGAGAGCAGGAGUGGAAGAGAGCCCAGGAUGAUGAAGGAAAACAAGGAAAAGACAACUUUUUAAAAGUUGACUAGGCAUCAGUGUGUCUGAACAGCAGUGUGAGGAGUCAGUGCAAAACAUUCAAUGAAUCAUUUAAAUUUGCACUGGAGGAAUUCAAUCGCUCCAUUAUGAAUUUCAAGUGGAGAAAGGAUUCCUUGAAGAAAUACAUAAAAAGCAGUUAUUGAUAUAACACGAAUAUUUUUUCCCAUGAAGGUUAAAGAGUGUUAAAUAUGUCAGUAAAACCAAGAGAACAUCAAAGGAUAUCUCAUUUGCAUAAACAGUGUGUUGGCAAUCCAGAAAUACCAUUUCCAGGAGUUAUUCCUCAGGUUUGUAUGGGAAGUCAGUGCUGCUCCAAGGAGCAGGAGGCUGAGCUGGAGCCUUUCGCCCUAGGUCUGCUCUAAGGCUUUCAGCAAUACUUGGCUGGACACCUAGGUGCACAGUUACAUGGCUAAUUACUUCUGUUCCAUAUGGAAAUUAGGAGAGGGGAAAAUGAUCGUUAUUAUCCAUAUUGGUUACCUGAUUGCAGUGUGUGGCUGAAGUGCUCUGUGUGCAAUUGCACUCUCAUCAUUUAAACAGCAUCUGGCUGGUCCAAACUGGGCUUAAAGUGAUAUCCUUACACCCCACUUAAGAAGGCAUUUGGAGUGUUAAGAGAUUCUGGAUGAUACCUGUAAAUCAGUACAUCAGACAUUGUCAAAACUUGACAGGUCUGAAAAUAUAUUGACCAAACUCUGAAUUGAUCAGUUCUUGCUGAACUUGAUCUGUUCUUGCUCAAAAGAAAUCAAGAGAUUUCUUUGAAAGAAAUGGUCAAUUUUGAAAGAAUGGUCAAUUCAGUCAUUAUGUCUGAAAGGACAAUGAAGGCCGCAGUGCUCCAGCCCUGGGAGUUAGAUUUCGGGGUUUUGGGGUUGGGUUUUUUGGUUGUGGGGGGC